ACCUACAUUGAUAAGAAAUGCCCAUUCACCGGUACCUUAACAAUUAGUAGUUGCAUUAUUGCAAGCUAGAACACGACACAAUGCUAAAAUGAACAGGACUAUCAUCAUUGUAGGAAGUAGGAACUAUCUUCACUUUGUCAAGAAGUAUUAGAGGCAAGCAAAAGAGACACCCUAAUAUCAAUGCGAACAUUAAUUUCCCCAUGCUUUCGUGUGAGGGAACGAGAUCAUGUGAUCAUCGGGCAGUGCAGGCCACUGUCCAAGAUUGCGAGGCUCAAUGUUUUGAAGGUCAUCCUAAGCUCCUAGUGGGGUCAAAGAAGGGUGCAGGAAAGAAGGCAUUCACUGUUGCCCGAAGAAAGUAUCAAUGACUGAACAUUCAAUUGUGGUGCUAAACUGUU
rnacentral:sRNA from 1 species